rnacentral:pre_miRNA from 1 species
AAAAAGUCUGUUAUGCUAAUGUUGUGUGUUUAACAAACUUGGCACAACCGCUUUUUAUU